rnacentral:sRNA from 1 species
UUUAACAAUGUUUUAGUGCUUUUUACUGC